rnacentral:rRNA from 1 species
AACGAACGCUGGCGGCAUGCUUAACACAUGCAAGUCGAACGAGACCUUCGGGUCUAGUGGCGCACGGGUGCGUAACGCGUGGGAAUCUGCCCUUUGCUACGGAAUAACUCAGAGAAAUUUGUGCUAAUACCGUAUAAUGUCGAAAGACCAAAGAUUUAUCGGCAAAGGAUGAGCCCGCGUAGGAUUAGCUAGUUGGUGAGGUAAAGGCUCACCAAGGCGACGAUCCUUAGCUGGUCUGAGAGGAUGAUCAGCCACACUGGGACUGAGACACGGCCUAGACUCCUACGGGAGGCAGCAGUGGGGAAUAUUGGACAAUGGGCGAAAGCCUGAUCCAGCAAUGCCGCGUGAGUGAUGAAGGCCUUAGGGUUGUAAAGCUCUUUUACCAGGGAUGAUAAUGACAGUACCUGGAGAAUUAGCUCCGGCUAACUCCGUGCCAGCAGCCGCUGUAAUAC